CCCUUAGAUGUUCUGGGCCGCACGCGCGCUACACUGAUGCAAGCAACAAGUAUAUUCCUACACCGAUAGGUGCGGGUAAUCUUUAAAAUUGCAUCGUGAUGGGGCUUGACGAUUGUAAUUUUUCGUCACAAACGAGGAAUUCCUAGUAAGCACGAGUCAUCAGCUCGUAUUGAUUACGUCCCUGCCCUUUGUACACACCGCCCGUCGCUGCAACCGAUUGAGCGCCUUGGUGAACACUCAGGAUUAGUUGUUUAGUUGGGUUCGCCUAUACUUGAUAAUUGAGAAUCUGUGUAAACCCACGUGCUUAGAGAUUGCAAAAGUCGUAACA
rnacentral:rRNA from 1 species